UAAUGAAACCCAUCUUAAUUAGCUUAUCAAAUCAAAGCUGCACUCGCACAAGAAGAAGAAGAAGAUGAAGAAGAGAGAGAGAGAGAGAGAGAGAACAUCAAGUUUUAAAAAAGUUGUAGUAAAAACUUGCCAUAAAUUGAGAUUCUUACAGGACAAACAACACACAGGCAUAAAUGAAUACCAGCCACCAUUUUCAUAGCCAGACCAGAACAUAAAAUCAUAAAUAUAUACAGAGAGUAGUGGAAAAAGUGUAAGAAUUUUAAAAGAGAAAGAAAAAUCUUUUUUCUCUUUUCUUUUCUUUUUUCUUCCUGGAAAGAAGAAAAGGACAAAAGAAUCAAGAAAUCAAGAGUUGCCAUAUUUGUGCCAACAGACCAAGAUCACCACACAUUUCCUAACAAUGUACAAUCUUGAUCUUUGCUCCUUUACAAUGGUGAUCCACCCAUGCCUCCCUCUUGAAACCCCACCAUCCCAAUCCUCCCUCACCUUCACAACUCGUCUCCCAGAUGCACAUUGACCCAUGUACACCAAGGAAUUUCACCUAUAACUAUAUUUUUUAAUAAGUAUCUCGAACUCGAAACCUUACAGCUCUCGAGAAAUCCACGGCACUAGUGCGAAUAUUAUCUCUAAUUACCUGCAACCAUUUCCCCUAAUCUUUACAUAUAUAUUGUUG
rnacentral:lncRNA from 1 species